UACGUAGGGGGCAAGCGUUGUCCGGAAUCAUUGGGCGUAAAGCGCGUGUAGGCGGUCCGGUAAGUCCGCUGUGAAAGUCGGGGGCUCAACCCUCGGAUGCCGGUGGAUACUGUCGGGCUUGAGUACGGAAGAGGCGAGUGGAAUUCCUGGUGUAGCGGUGAAAUGCGCAGGAUAUCAAGGAGGAACACCAAUUGCGAAGGCAGCUCGCUGGGACGUUACUGACGCUGAGACGCGAAGCGUGGGAGCAAACAGG
rnacentral:rRNA from 1 species